UACGUAGGGGGCAAGCGUUGUCCGGAUUUAUUGGGCGUAAAGAGCGUGUAGGCGGCCAGGUAGGUCUGCUGUGAAAACUCGAGGCUCAACCUCGAGACGUCGGCGGAAACCAUCUGGCUAGAGUCCGAAAGAGGAGAGUGGAAUUCCUGGUGUAGCGGUGAAAUGCGCAGAUAUCAGGAAGAACACCCGUGGCGAAGGCGGCUCUCUGGGACGGUACUGACGCUGAGACGCGAAAGCGUGGGGAGCGAACAGG
rnacentral:rRNA from 1 species